CACGUAGGCACCAAGCGUUGUCCGGAUUUAUUGGGCGUAAAGAGCUCGUAGGCGGUUGAGUAAGUCGGGUGUGAAAACUCUGGGCUUAACCCAGAGCCGCCACUCGAUACUGCUGUGACUUGAGUUCGGUAGGGGAGCAGGGAAUUCCUAGUGUAGCGGUGAAAUGCGCAGAUAUUAGGAGGAACACCGGUGGCGAAGGCGCUGCUCUGGGCCGAUACUGACGCUGAGGAGCGAAAGCGUGGGUAGCAAACAGG
rnacentral:rRNA from 1 species